GGGGGUGAACGGUUUCGACUCCGGCUGUCGAUCAAGGGGAAGCGUGCCGAGGAAGGCGACGAUGAUCUCGAUAACCACCCGUCGCAACCCUAUAAGCGCCGACACCAGUCAGCGCGAGUUCGCCCUCGCCGCCUGAGCGAGGAGCGACUCUGUCGGACCGGGGGCGUCCCUGCCCCGGACCCCGGCAUCAGCUAAGGGACUCACCGUGCGGCCCGGUCGCGGGGCCGCACGGGACAUCGAACAGCGACUGGGAUCGUCACACCGGCACGUUCGCAUGACCGGUGGAUCCGAGUAGAGGCACAGCGGACUGCGCACGGAGAAGCCCUUGUGAGGCAACGGAGGACCCGGGUUCGAUUCCCGGCACCUCCACCA
rnacentral:tmRNA from 1 species